rnacentral:rRNA from 1 species
GACGAACCGUGCGAACGUUGUUCGGAAUCACUGGGCGUAAAGGGCGCGUAGGCGGCGUGACAAGUCACUUGUGAAAUCUCUGGGCUUAACCCAGAACGGCCAAGUGAAACUGUUGUGCUAGAGUGCAGAAGGGGCAAUCGGAAUUCUCGGUGUAGCGGUGAAAUGUGUAGAUAUCGAGAGGAACACCGGUGGCGAAGGCGGGUCUCUGGGCAGUAACUGACGCUGAGGAGCGAAAGCGUGGGGAGCGAACGGG